ensembl:lncRNA
CGGGGGCUCCAGGGACAGGCCCUGGGCAAUGACCGACAGGUUCUUGGAGAGCCCCACCACAGCAGCAUUUUGGGGCAGAAGAGCCCGGACUUCCCCACUUCCGCCCGCUUUUUCAGACCUCGGUGGUAGCUGAACUCCUUGGCGCUGAGCUCCGCAUCGGGGCCGUAGGCCAGCCUGAAGCGCCCCAGGUGAUGCUGAGCUUGGGGAAGAGCUUCCGCGCGCGGCCCGGGAGUGGGCCCAGGGGGAGGCUAGAUCUGGUGGAACCGGGCAGGGGCGCGGUGUCCAGGGUGUCGUCCCUGAAUCAUCCCACAGGUCUGCAGGGUCACGUCGAUCAGCAGCUUCCCCUUCCUGAGCUCGCUCCUCUCCUUCUGCCCAGCGUUUCAGCCUGCCCUCUCUGGACCAGCUGUAGGCCCUGCCGCCCCUCAUCCUCCAUGCCAGCAAGAACACAGAGGACCGGGGCCUGCGGCCACGCUCAUCUCCACGUGGGUCCCCUUGUCGGACAGGACCUGGCUGAAGCCCACAUGAGCUCACUGUGGCCACUCCUUCUGGGGGGGGCCCUUCGAUAACACCUUGGUCUGGUGGCUGCCCUCCCAAGCAGUCUUCUAGCCCUCAGUGAGUUCUCUGCAUGAGGCCUGAAGGCAAUGAACUAAGGCCAAGCAAAUUACACUGAACAGAACAAGGGCAAGAUAUGAACAGACGUUUGAUGGGGAUAUUUUGUUUCCAAAUAUUCCUCGACACGCAAAACAAUAAGGAUUAGCAUAUUUCGCUUUGACUGAUGGAUUCAUGGCUUUCAAUUUCUCUGAAAAGCAACUGUAACAUUCCGAUGAGCUGAUCGAGGAAGGUUGUCGUUUCAGUGAUCCUCUGGAGACUGUCACAGGCAGCAGAAUCAAAAACAGGUUUACAAUUAAUGAAGCAGAAGAGUAUUGUGAAGAAGAAUCUGAUGAGUUCCUUCAACAGCUGUCAUGGGCAAAGAUUUCAUAUCAAAUUGAUUAGCCUGGCCCUCAUUCAGCUAGCUGAGGAUUAUUAAUUGAGAUUGGGAGAGAGUAUUUGAAAUACUCCUGUCUGUAAACUCCAUAGGAAUGGUGUUACCCUACAUGUUCCAUUCUUUUAAGCUAGUCCUUACAGAGUGGAAGCCACCUUAAUGUCACAUGUAGUACUUUACACAGUUCCCCAGUUCAUUAGAAAACUAUGAUGAUGAUAUCAUUUAAGGUUUUUAUAUUUACAGACUUUAUAUUCUUCUAGGCAAUUUUUCUACCAUUUGGCUAUUUGUUCAGAGAAAAAUGUUUGAAAGAGAAAAUUAACAUGCUCUUUCAAUCACUAACUCAAAAAGUUCUUGAAACAAAUUGGUCCAAUGAUAAUAUUGGUAUUUAAUUUCCUUGAUCAAAUGCAAAGGAAUAUUUAAUGAAUAUAAACUAAAAAAUCUUCCAGGAUUAAAGUAUCAUGUAUUAAUUUAUUUAAUGAAAAUUUGUUGAACAUUUCCCAAGCAUUUGGAGAAAAUAGUGAAUACGAUAGACUUGGUCAUUCAUUUUAUCAUGCUUAGAGUCUAGUGGGUGCUAUACAAAGAAUAGACUUUUUUUUUUUUAAAAAAAACACAAUUGAAAAAACUAUUGCAGACUUCCAGUUCUAGUUCAGCAUGAAGGGAGGUUGGAAAUCGUCACUCCUAUUCUCAAAAGAAAAAAACUGAACAAGUUGAAAAUCAAUGACUCUUUUUAGAUCCACUACAGAAUUAUAGUAACAGGGCAAAUUGUUACCCCAAAAUUGAACAGACAGAGAGGAGCAAACAAAGAGUCCCAACUUCCUAGAGCAAAAGCCCGGGAGCAGAAAUCUCCAUGGGAACCAGUAACAGGGAGGAAAACCUAAACUCUGACUAACAAAUUGCCAGAGGCUCAGUGUGGACCAGUCUGAGAGUUCAAAACUCCAGGAGGGCUCAGUCUUAGGGGGCAUUCUUCACAUUUUUGUGAGUUUUACCUCCAGAAGCCCUAUCAUUUUCUCACUGUGAAGAUUAGGGAAAAGUCUCCUCAUGGGUCUGGCAGAAGGAGUGGGGGAAGUAGCCACCUUGAAAUUGCUGGAGCCUCUUGUCCUUCUUAACAAGACCUGCCCUCAAGAGAAACUAUUUUCCUGGAGUCUAACCUACUGGGUUGUUAGCAGAGCCUAAAUAACUGGGGAAGAGAAAUAACAAAUGCAGCCUGCUGGGGCCCUCCAUGUGGGGUAAGAGAAAUGUCUGCUUUCCUACUUUGUGGGGGUAACAAAACAACCUGAGAAGCCCUGGUGAGAUCACAGGAGCACAGGCUCACUAAAAGACUGAGACUUAACAGGACAAUAGAAUGCUUCUCCUCCUCCCACGUCUUAUUACCACAUCAGUAGACCUUCUGUAUAAAAGCCAUGGGAUACAAAUGAAAGGGCUGAAUAUCUCCAAACCCUCUUUAAGAAGUGUGUACACCAGAGGGAGCUUUUGCCUCUGUCACCUAUAGCUACAGCGAAGAGCAAACCCAGCUUUACCGCUAGCCAAACAAACAUAAACCUCAC